UACGUAGGGUGCAAGCGUUGUCCGGAAUUAUUGGGCGUAAAGAGCUCGUAGGCGGUUUGUCGCGUCUGCUGUGAAAACCCGAGGCUCAACCUCGGGCCUGCAGUGGGUACGGGCAGACUAGAGUGCGGUAGGGGGAGAUUGGAAUUCCUGGUGUAGCGGUGGAAUGCGCAGAUAUCAGGAGGAACACCGAUGGCGAAGGCAGGUCUCUGGGGCCAUAACUGACGCUGAGAAGCGAAAGCAUGGGGGAGCGAACAGG
rnacentral:rRNA from 1 species